GUCCUCGUAGCUCAGUAGGAUAGAGCGAUCGCCUCCUAAGCGAUAGGUCGUUGGUUCGAUUCCAAUCGAGGACGCCA
rnacentral:tRNA from 1 species